CAUCUGACUAACAUUCUGUUGAAGAGUCCAAGUUCCUGCUUACUUCCAAACUAGCUGUGUGACCUUGACUAAGUUAUCAAACUCUCCGGCUUCAGUUUCUCACUUGCAAAAACAGCAAUAAAAGAUUUGUAACCAGCAAAGCAAGUACCUGUCUUGCUUGUCUCACCUUAUUGUGUGACUGAAAGGAGACCAGUACAACUCAUGUUGGUGGGACUUUUGGUGUCAUCCCUGCCACCACCCUUGGUUACCCCCAGAAGCUGUUGUAUGUUUUCCUUGGAUUUUGCUGGAUAGCUCCCCUGGUCUACCUUUCCACAGUAUGAACCUCUCUGGAUCAGAGAGGUUUGCAACUCAGAAGCUGUAUUUACUCAGAACCACAUCUUACAUGAGAA